rnacentral:lncRNA from 1 species
UGGAGUUCAGUGACUUAUAGCUCUUGAUUGACAACACAGUUGAAGGUUUCUCCAAUAGAUCUCUCAUAUGGAAAAGAAGUCUACCUGUCAUUUGAGUGAAGUCAUGUUUAUCAUCUUCUGAUUCAUCUGGUAAAGGAAGUAAGGCAGCAAGAGAAUUGCAGAGCACCAGGGAAACAUUGGAAUAGGAAAGCAGAAGUGUCUUAUAAGAACUUAGGGUACUCUCUGAGUAAUGCUAGGUGUGAUGGAAUUUUAGUAGAACUUCUGUAGAAUGAGGCACAUAAAUGGUUAGAAGAGCACACACAGUGACAUCUUCUGCUCU